rnacentral:rRNA from 1 species
GACGAACCGUGCGAACGUUGUUCGGAAUCACUGGGCUUAAAGGGCGCGUAGGCGGAUCAUAAAGUCUAGGGUGAAAUCCUCCGGCUUAACCGGAGAACUGCCUUGGAUACUGAUGAUCUCGAGGGAGGCAGGGGCAGUUGGAACUUCCGGUGGAGCGGUGAAAUGCGUUGAUAUCGGAAGGAACGCCGGUGGCGAAAGCGAACUGCUGGUCCUUUUCUGACGCUGAGGCGCGAAAGCCAGGGGAGCAAACGGG